CCUACGGGAGGCAGCAGUGAGGAAUAUUGGUCAAUGGGCGGGAGCCUGAACCAGCCAAGUCGCGUGAGGGAAGACGGUCCUAUGGAUUGUAAACCUCUUUAGGCGGGGAGCAAUGCCGGGCACGUGUGCCCGGAGGGAGAGUACCCGCAGAAUAAGCAUCGGCUAACUCCGUGCCAGCAGCCGCGGUAAGACGGAGGAUGCGAGCGUUAUCCGGAUUGAUUGGGUUUACGGGGUGCGUAGGCGGAUUUUUAAGUCAGAGGGAAAGGGUCGGGGCUGAACUGGGGACGGCCGGUGAGACUGGGGAGCUUGAGUGGGCGAGAGGGAGGGGGAAUGCGUGGUGUAGCGGUGAAAUGCAUAGAUAUGACGAAGAACUCCGAUUGCGAAGGCAGCAUACCGGCGCCCGACUGACGCUGAGGCACGAAAGCGUGGGGAUCGAACAGGAUUAGAUACCCUUGUAGUC
rnacentral:rRNA from 1 species